GAGCGGCGUUGGUGGUGGCAGCGUCGAGGAGGCUGUGGAUUGCAGCUUGUCUCUUUAAUCGUUUUUCUUUAGCUAUAAACGCCAUUUUUAAUCGAUAUAACGUUAUUUACGAAGCGCUUGAGUUGAAGUAUAGCGUUUUUUUAUUUAAAAAUUAUUUUUUCGAGCAGGAUGGAGAAUAGGGAUAAGGAGCAGUAUCGCAAACUGUUCAUAGGUGGUCUCAGCUUUAACACAACUGAAGAAAAUUUGAGAAGCCAUUUUGAGCAAUGGGGAAAGCUCACAGAUUGUGUGGUCAUGAGGGAUCCUCCUUCCAAGCGAUCAAGAGGGUUUGGAUUUGUCACAUUCUCUACAGCUGAAGAAGUUGAUGAUGCAAUGGCUGCUCGGCCUCAUAAAAUCGAUGGUCGUGUUGUGGAGCCUAAACGAGCAGUUGCAAGAGAAGAAUCUGGGAAACCAGGAGCACACCUGACUGUGAAGAAACUAUUUGUUGGUGGAAUAAAAGAUGACACUGAUGAACAUCACCUCAGAGCGUACUUUAAGAACUAUGGAAAAAUUGAAAGCAUUGAAGUAAUAACAGACCGCCAAAGUGGGAAGAAGAGAGGUUUUGCGUUUGUAUCUUUUGAUGACCAUGAUCCAGUGGACAAAGUAGUCCUUCAAAAAUAUCAUUACGUUAAUGGGCAUAAUGCAGAAGUAAGAAAAGCUUUGUCACGUCAAGAAAUAUUGGAGGCACAAAGUAACAGGUCAGGACGAGGAGGUGGUGGCUUUAGAGGUGACCCUCGUGGAAGUGGCAAUUUUCCUAUGGGGCGUGGAGGUAACUUCGGAGGUGGCCCAAAUGGAUUUGGUGGUGGCCGUGGUUUUGGCGAUGGCCCUGGUUUCAAUGGCUUUGGUGGAGGAGGUGGUAACUUUGGAGGACCGGGGUUUGGAGGUCCAGGAUUCGGUGGAGGUCCUGGAUUUGGUGGAGGAUUUGGUAACCAUGGUGGUGGCUAUGAUGGAGGUGGAAAUUAUGGUGGAAAUUUUGGAGGAGGUGGGAACUACAAUGAUUUUGGGAACUACCAUCAUCAGAACUCUAAUUUUGGACCAAUGAAAGGUGGAAACUAUGGAGGAAGAAAUAUGGGUGGACCGUAUGGAGGGAAUUAUGGUGGUGGAUAUGGUGGACGUAACAGAUAUUAAUUCAGCAAAACCCAUUCCAAGGGUUAUAGUAUCUGAAGUUGAUUGGGUGUUGAUUGUCCAUUGGAUCUUAAACUGAGAGCUGCCAGACUUCAUUCCACAUGUGAUCAGAACCAUCCUCAGCCAGCAUCUGACCUCUAUCAACUGGUCUGGGCUGCACUGGAACUGAAAUCACAGUGGAGAAGGCAGUGAUCUAAGCUAUAAGCUACAUGAUCAGUUUUGUUCGCUACAGAAGUAGGUAAGUGUACAGAGCUCUGACCAAUAUGUGGUGAUUUGAAUGUAGCAUUCAGUGACAAGUGAAUUGAUGAACAUGGCACUGAAGGGGUUCAGCAUGUCAGAAUUGAAAACAUCUAAUUAAUACUUGCCAAUUUAAUGAGACAAAGUUGGAAGAUCACUAACCAGGCAAAGUAUAUGGAAAAAAAAUCUUUGUAAUGAAAAUAUUGCUUUUGUUUUAAAAGUUGACAUUUAAUAUAGAUGACUACUUAAGCAAAUUUUAGUUCAUGUUAAUUUUCAGAAGUCUGAUUUUAACUUUAAUAAAUGCACAUUGUUGCUCCAUUAGCUCAGGUGUCAAGCAGAUAAUUGAAUGUUUAUAUUAAGCUGUCUUUCAGUAGUAGGUUCCCUCCUUAGAAACUGGCUCUCACCAGUUAUGUUGUGCAGAUUCUGCAUUUAAUAAUGUGUGCCCGAUUGAGGUUGGUUCUAAGUUUUUAAUAAAAUUUAAGCAGAUCGGAAAAUGUCUGAAGAAACAAACACAGUACCCUAGUUCAGUCAACAAAAUACAGAUCAGUUAACUUUACAGCCCCCAAGUUGUUUUAUUGCUGGCAAAAGUGCUAAAUAUUUCAGGUUUCAGUGCUGCUUUUCAUUUGUGUUUUUGAGUAAUGUUAGCGCUCAAAUUCCUCCAGCAAAAGUUGUUUAGUUUCCAAACCUCUGCUCCUCUCUCUAAUAUGUUCUUUUGCAGAAGUAGUUGUCCUUUUUAUUUACUUUCCUGCUUCAAAGUGCCAGGCUUCCAUAUUCCCUAUAUGUAUCUAGCAGAUGGUUGCCUAGAAAUGAGGCUCUAAGGGACAAAAUAUGUGAGGAUCUGAGCUGAUACGGAAUUCAAUGGAUUGUGGAUGUUUUUUGACAAGGAUGCUGAGUUCAGUAAAUUGAUAGUUUUUCAUUCAUGACAGGUUUAAAAGGUAGUUUUGACCAGAGCUCCAGUUUACUUAAUGCUAAAUUCCAAGGGAUGUUUCAAUUCACUGUUAUUGCUGCUCAUUUAUUAACUGGCACUUUUGGAGCCUGUUUGGAUGAAAAUGUUAGAAUUCAUUAUAACCUUGUGAAGAAAGCGGUAUUGGAAAUAGCUUGUUUAGUUUCCAGAGUAUAAUAAUGGUUGAGGAUUGAAAGGUAAAAUUAAGACUAAGAUUAGGAAGUCUUUGCAGCAGGCAGUGUUUCAAAUGGGCUCAGCUCCUGAAUAGAAUAGUGGUGAUAACAGCCUCAAAGAGCCAGUUGAAUGCCAUUAGUUUGCUUUAGUGUGCAAUUUACACAAAACCUACUUAUACAGUCACAACUCAAAGCGGGUUGUGUGAAUGUGAACUGAGAACCUCAGUUAAGCAAAAGAAAUUUAUUAAAAGUGAAUUGAAAUUUUUCUGUUGUAAUCUUCCUCAAAUGUUUAAUCACAGCAACAGAAAGUCUGAAGUUGGAUGUGGAAUUGAGAACUAUUUUUAAAGAAAAUUAAAUGAUGGAAAUGCAAUAUUUUAUUGGUGAUGGACUUAAAGCACAUUUUUUAAAAAAAACUCUGCUCAUGCACUGAGGUUAGUGUAAUAAGCCACUUGUUACAGAUGCUAAUUUCUGUUGGCUUAUUUUCCUUGAUAUGCAUAUUUUCAUGCGUAAGCUGAAUGUCCAGUUUUCCAUGUCAUUUGGCUUUGCUUCAAGAGUUAGUGCUAUGAUUCAGUAAAAUACAUAAAGUUUCCAUUGGUCAUUACACCAUUAUUUGAAAAUCUUAGAAUCUGCUGUCUGAGUUCAAUGGCACGGGCAUAGUGAAUUUUAAAGCCAUUAUAUUGCAUAAAGGAGAACAACGGAUCUGAGAAAUAAAACAAGGUAAACAAGUGGGUAUUUUUUUAAUCAGAAAUGACCAUUGCCACAUGUGAGAAUAAAUUGAAACUUGUCAGUUCUACUUUACCUUGGUUUUAAGUGUUACUGAUUUUAGUAGAUUAAUGCUGCUGCAUAUAGGUUCUAUAGGCAAUGAUAAAGUUCAUAAACUGCACUGAAACAAAAUAAAAUUGCUUUCAGUCAGAAUGGUAAACAGAUGUGGUUCAUAUUUGGAUUGCAGAGGAUCCAGCUUAGAAGCUGGUGUAGAAGGUGUUUUGUCAACUUGGGCUCAAAAUUGUGUUCUAAGUUUGGGGUGCAGUGUGUACAUUGAUUCCAUAAAUAACAAUUCUUUCAAACCUGUGACUGGAAUCACAAGAUCAAGGCACAGAAGUAUUCCAACCCUCCUUUAAAAUCAUGGUUUCAUCAAAGUGUACUACGUGUAAAAUAUUAAGUUAACUAUGGAGUCAGAAACAGACAACAUUCUUGGCUAUUGCCAACUAAAUGUUGGAAAGUAAGGUUCUGCCUUAACAAGCUAAAGGUGUUAUGUUAUUAAGAUCUUGCCAUUCUUUAGAUGGACAUAAAUAUGACCAGUCACACAAGUAGCGUCUGAAAUGUCAUUCAGGAGCCUGAGUUCAGCCAAGACAAAUAUAAACAUUUUUAUAUGCUAUUAUUAAGUAGCUACCUAAUUAAUACAACUAGGUAAAGGCAAGACUGGGUUUGAUUACAAACUUCGUUGCGACAUUAGCACAGUGUAAUCUAUAGACUUUCUAUGAUUUAGCUGGAGUUGCAAUUUUUAGAUAAAUUAUAUAAAUCUCAAUCUGAAAUGUUCAGAAUUUGAUGGUCUUGUAAAAGAACAGAACUGUUUACCCUUAAUGCUGUCUGCAGAUUAGAAGUUGAGCAAGGGUUCCUAGAAUGUCGGCAGGCUAGUGAGUGCAUGAGGGAGACAGUAUGUGGCAGCUUGCUAAGUACAGAGGAACCUUGAUUAUCCAGCGUUCGAAUAACCGAAUUUCAGAUGAUCUGAACAAGAUCCCAAUGCAUGGCUAACUGUUAUCCAACAUUCGAUUAACGGAACAAAAUACUCCCCAUCUGUGUCCUUUUGAUGAACAAGGUUCCUGUAGUGGACUGGAUCCAGUCAUGAAAGCUGACAAGGGAACAUUUUUUUAACAUGGUGUAUUUGCAUCCUUGUUCAAUGGAUGGAUAUUAAAGAUGUGAACCUAUU